GGAAUAAGGCUCUAUUAUGUCCAAUUUUCACUAUAAUUCUCCCUCACUUUCUACCAGAAACAGAUCAUAAAUUGUGAAAACAUAAAUCCACAAGGUGGAUCGUCUCAUUUUAUAAAGAGCUGUAUAAUGCUGUAGAUCUCUAGUUUGCUAUUUUUCUCAAGCCUAAAAGAUUACCAAUAUAUUUUAGAUACAUGAAGCAAAACAAAAACAUAGAAUUAACAUUAUUUCUGAGAGAAUGGUUUACCUAGUUCAAACUACAAAUGACUGUAUUAUAGAAUGCUGUAUUACAAACCUGAUAAAUUCUAAUUUUUAGUACUUUAACAGAUUAAGGGCUCAACAGUUUCUAUUUAUAAAUGUUACAAUGACAUUUGUGAAUGUAGCUUAUUUAAAACAUUUUCCCCAGGUUGAAUUUUUAAGUCCCAUUCUUCAUAAAAACAUAACGAUCUGCACAGGUUACAGGCUCUGAAUUUUAGACAACACAAAAUAGUUUUUUCACAAACUUUCUAAUUUACUCUCACCUAAAGGCUGGAAAACCCCACUGAAGGUUUUUAAAAACUCAUCAGACAUAGAGAAAAAAAAAAACUGCUUUAAUUGUAGGAUCUCACUGACACAAACAUAAGGAAAUUCUGAGUUAUAGAUACUUCACAUUAAGCUUUUUCCACUGACAUUGUAACUUCUGUCAACAUUCAAAGAAAAUUCAACCCUGGUCAAAGGUGACAGUUUGACAAUCCUGGAAGACAACAUCCUCUGUUUAUUUGAACAAGUUUAUACUCUCUGCUCAGGGAAUUGAAGUUUUUCUCCUCCCUGACUUGACCUCUCAAAUUCAAAUCAGCACACUUUAGGGUAAUAAAUUUUGGCCCCAAAAUUUAACUUUACAAUCUACCUCCAAGGAAAAAU
rnacentral:lncRNA from 1 species